rnacentral:rRNA from 1 species
GGCGCUGUGGGAUGAACCAAACGUCGAGUUAAGGGGCCUAAAUGAAUGCUCAUACAGAUCCCACGAAAGGUGUUGGUUGCUAUAGACAGCAGGACGGUGGCCAUGGAAGUUGGAAUCCGCUAAGGAGUGUGUAACAACUCACCUGCCGAAGCAACUAGCCCUUAAAAUGGUAUGGCGCUAAAGCAUUCUCCCGAUACUCGACCGCCGGUGGCACAACAGGCCUAGCCAUGCAGGUCUUGAAGCCCCGGUGAGUAGGAGGGCCGCGGUGGUGAGCGCUGAAGGGUGCGGCGUGAGCCGGCCUGGAGCCGCCACUGGCGCAGAUCUUGGUGGUAGUAGCAAAUAGUCGAGAGAGACUCUACCUGGAAGACCGAUGUGGGGCAGGGUUCCAUGUAA